UUCAUAUGCAUAGAUUGUGGAUGAGUUCCUGUAGGUUAUUGACAUGAAUAUGGUUUCAUAUUUUAGCUCAUAUUUUGGUUCUCUUUAGGGCCUGGCUUUGAUACACGCAUUGGCAUUCCCGCCAUCGCCAUUGCCUUCGCCAUUAGUGUUAUCAUCAUCGUUUAUAUUCGAAAAUACCAAAAGAAAAAAUGUUCUUACAGUGUAAAUCGGGAUUCCUCAAAGCAUCAAAUUACCAUGGAACACGAUUUCCAUAUGAAUGAAUCAAAACGUAAUUUGAUCUUCAAAGGUAUAUAUUUUUAUAGAAAAAUAUUUUCCUGUACCCAAAAGUAUGCAGGUGGUGUGGUGGUUUUCUGAUUAAAUAUCAGAGAGUAGGGUAGAAGUUUACAAUAUUAAAUACAAAU
rnacentral:lncRNA from 1 species